rnacentral:rRNA from 1 species
GAUUGAACGCUGGCGGAAUGCUUUACACAUGCAAGUCGAGCGGCAGCGUCGGGGGCAACCCUGGCGGCGAGCGGCGAACGGGUGAGUAAUACAUCGGAACGUGUCCUUAAGUGGGGGGAUAGCGUCGGCGAAAGCCGGAUUAAUACCGCAUAAGCUCUGAGGAGGAAAGGCGGGGGCUCCGUAAGGACCUCGCGCUGUUGGAGCGGCCGAUGUCGGAUUAGCUAGUUGGUGGGGUAAAGGCCCACCGAAGGCGACGAUCCGUAGCUGGUCUGAGAGGAU